rnacentral:rRNA from 1 species
CGCGUAAUAUUCUUGCAACAAGGGGCAGACAAGUCCUGAUGCCAGCCACUGCCGCGUGGGUGAAGAAGGCCUUCGGGUUGUAAAGCCCUUUUGUUGGGGAAGAAAUCCUCCCGGCUAAUACCUGGUUGGGAUGACGGUACCCAAAAAAAAAGCACCGGCUAACUUCGUGCCAGCAGCCGCGAUAAUAAAAAAAAA